rnacentral:misc_RNA from 1 species
GAAAUGCGAUACGUAGUGUGAAUUGCAGAAUUCCGUGAAUCAUCGAAUCCUCGAACGCAUAUUGCGCUUCUGGGUAUUCCUAGAAGCACGCCUGUUUGAGAAUCUGUGUUAAACUUCAAGCUAAAGUGGUUUUACUUUACUGUAAGAUUAUUUCUGUUUGGACAUGGAUCUUCCACGAAGUUGGUUAAUUUAUUUAAUCAAGCGUGAGAUCUGAAAUAUAGAGAAUGGCAGGUCCUCAUAUGAAACCAAAAGCUGGAUAAGGGGUACCUUCGGGUCCUUUAACAAGCUGAUAAAGUUUCGAGAAUCUGGCCAUCAAAUCAAAAAAAAAUCCGGGCUAGAAAAUGAAAUAUUUUUUUUUAGAAUCCGUGACUUUGAUCUCAAAUCAGGCGAGACUACCCGC